CCCGGCGCUCCGCCUCGGCCGCGCACACACCCUCGCGCGCACGCCCGCGCCUCGCACACGCCCGCGCCUGGCCCACGCGGGCUCCCCGCGCACCCUCGCCCGGCCGGCCGGCUCUCUCGCACAGUCACGCGCCUACACGCAGCGCCCCCGCACCCACGCGCCCAGCGGGGUCCUCUCCUCUUCGCCUGGAGCUGAGCCACCGCGUCCACCGUCUGCCCGGCUGGGGCGCAGGUAUCGGGGUGCGGUGGAGGGGAGGGAGAGAGAGAGCUGCCGUUUGAACUCGGAGUGGGCGAACAGAAAGUAUAGCCGAGCAGGAUCCUAUGGGGACUUCCCAGAAGAGCCCCUGAUCUAGGUCCUCUGCCUGCCUCUUGUCUGUG